GAGCCGUUCUAGCUCAGUUGGUAGAGCGCGUGGCUUUUAACCACGUGGUCGUGGGUUCGAGUCCCACGGAUGGCGUUUUGUUAUAUGUUUUUUUUUUGUAUGUUUUUGUUUUUGUAAUAGACAUUUAAAUAUCAUCAGAAAAGUGUUUUACAUAUACCAUUUUCGUAAAAUAUGAGCCGUUCUAGCUCAGUUGGUAGAGCGCGUGGCUUUAACCACGUGGUCGUGGGUUCGAGUCCCACGGAUGGCGG
rnacentral:tRNA from 1 species